rnacentral:rRNA from 1 species
GACGAACGCUGGCGGCGUGCUUAACACAUGCAAGUCGAACGGUAAGGCCCUUCGGGGUACACGAGUGGCGAACGGGUGAGUAACACGUGGGUGAUCUGCCCUGCACUUCGGGAUAAGCCUGGGAAACUGGGUCUAAUACCGGAUAGGACUCCUGCCUGCAUGGGUGGGGGUGGAAAGCUUUUGCGGUGUGGGAUGGGCCCGCGGCCUAUCAGCUUGUUGGUGGGGUGAUGGCCUACCAAGGCGACGACGGGUAGACGGCCUGAGAGGGUGACCGGCCACACUGGGACUGAGAUACGGCCCAGACUCCUACGGGGGGCAGCAGUGGGGAAUAUUGCACAAUGGGCGCAAGCCUGAUGCAGCGACGCCGCGUGAGGGAUGACGGCCUUCGGGUUGUAAACCUCUUUCAGCACAGACGAAGCGCAAGUGACGGUAUGUGCAGAAGAAGGACCGGCCAACUACGUGCCAGCCGCCGCCGUAA